AGAGUUUGAUCCUGGCUCAGGAUGAACGCUAGCUACAGGCUUAACACAUGCAAGUCGAGGGGCAUCAGGAAGAAAGCUUGCUUUCUUUGCUGGCGACCGGCGCACGGGUGAGUAACACGUAUCCAACCUGCCCUUUACUCGGGGAUAGCCUUUCGAAAGAAAGAUUAAUACCCGAUAGCAUAAUGAUUCCGCAUGGUUUCAUUAUUAAAGGAUUCCGGUAAAGGAUGGGGAUGCGUUCCAUUAGGUUGUUGGUGAGGUAACGGCUCACCAAGCCUUCGAUGGAUAGGGGUUCUGAGAGGAAGGUCCCCCACAUUGGAACUGAGACACGGUCCAAACUCCUACGGGAGGCAGCAGUGAGGAAUAUUGGUCAAUGGGCGCAGGCCUGAACCAGCCAAGUAGCGUGAAGGAUGACUGCCCUAUGGGUUGUAAACUUCUUUUAUAAAGGAAUAAAGUCGGGUAUGCAUACCCGUUUGCAUGUACUUUAUGAAUAAGGAUCGGCUAACUCCGUGCCAGCAGCCGCGGUAAUACGGAGGAUCCGAGCGUUAUCCGGAUUUAUUGGGUUUAAAGGGAGCGUAGGUGGACUGGUAAGUCAGUUGUGAAAGUUUGCGGCUCAACCGUAAAAUUGCAGUUGAUACUGUCAGUCUUGAGUACAGUAGAGGUGGGCGGAAUUCGUGGUGUAGCGGUGAAAUGCUUAGAUAUCACGAAGAACUCCGAUUGCGAAGGCAGCUCACUGGACUGCAACUGACACUGAUGCUCGAAAGUGUGGGUAUCAAACAGGAUUAGAUACCCUGGUAGUCCACACAGUAAACGAUGAAUACUCGCUGUUUGCGAUAUACAGUAAGCGGCCAAGCGAAAGCGUUAAGUAUUCCACCUGGGGAGUACGCCGGCAACGGUGAAACUCAAAGGAAUUGACGGGGGCCC
rnacentral:rRNA from 1 species